GAUGAACGCUGGCGGCGUGCUUAACACAUGCAAGUCGAACGGUGAACACGGAGCUUGCUCUGUGGGAUCAGUGGCGAACGGGUGAGUAACACGUGAGCAACCUGCCCCUGACUCUGGGAUAAGCGCUGGAAACGGCGUCUAAUACUGGAUAUGUGACGUGACCGCAUGGUCUGCGUUUGGAAAGAUUUUUCGGUUGGGGAUGGGCUCGCGGCCUAUCAGCUUGUUGGUGAGGUAAUGGCUCACCAAGGCGUCGACGGGUAGCCGGCCUGAGAGGGUGACCGGCCACACUGGGACUGAGACACGGCCCAGACUCCUACGGGAGGCAGCAGUGGGGAAUAUUGCACAAUGGGCGCAAGCCUGAUGCAGCAACGCCGCGUGAGGGAUGACGGCCUUCGGGUUGUAAACCUCUUUUAGCAGGGUAGAAGCGAAAGUGACGGUACCUGCAGAAAAAGCGCCGGCUAACUACGUG
rnacentral:rRNA from 1 species